rnacentral:rRNA from 1 species
CAUGUAGGCGGUCUGUCAAGUCUGAUGUGAAAGCCCGGGGCUCAACCCCGGAAGUGCAUUGGAAACUGGCAGACUUGAGUACGGGAGAGGAAAGUGGAAUUUCGAGUGUAGGGGUGAAAUCCGUAGAUAUUCGAAGGAACACCAGUGGCGAAGGCGGCUUUCUGGACCGAUACUGACGCUGGGAUGCGAAAGCGUGGGGAGCAAACAGGAUUAGAUACCCUGGUAGUCC